GAUGAAGAACGCAGCGAAAUGCGAUAAGUAAUGUGAAUUGCAGAAUUCAGUGAAUCAUCGAAUCUUUGAACGCACAUUGCGCCCCCUGGUAUUCCGGGGGGCAUGCCUGUUCGAGCGUCAUUUCACCACUCAAGCCUCGCUUGGUAUUGGGCAACGCGGUCCGCCGCGUGCCUCAAAUCGACCGGCUGGGUCUUCUGUCCCCUAAGCGUUGUGGAAACUUUCGCUAAAGGGUGUUCGGGAGGCUACGCCGUAAAACAGCCCCAUUUCUAAGGUUGACCUCGGAUCAGGUAGGGAUACCCGCUGAACUUAAGCAUAUCAAUAAGCGGAGGA
rnacentral:misc_RNA from 1 species